GACGUAGGGUGCAAGCGUUGUCCGGAUUUAUUGGGCGUAAAGAGCUCGUAGGCGGCCUGUCGCGUCGACUGUGAAAACCCGCAGCUUAACUGCGGGACUGCAGUCGAUACGGGCAGGCUAGAGUUCGGUAGGGGAGACUGGAAUUCCUGGUGUAGCGGUGAAAUGCGCAGAUAUCAGGAGGAACACCGGUGGCGAAGGCGGGUCUCUGGGCCGAUACUGACGCUGAGGAGCGAAAGCGUGGGGAGCGAACAGG
rnacentral:rRNA from 1 species